rnacentral:rRNA from 1 species
AAAUUGAAGAGUUUGAUCAUGGCUCAGAUUGAACGCUGGCGGCAGGCCUAACACAUGCAAGUCGAACGGUAACAGGAAUCAGCUUGCUGAUUCGCUGACGAGUGGCGGACGGGUGAGUAAUGUCUGGGAAACUGCCCGAUGGAGGGGGAUAACUACUGGAAACGGUAGCUAAUACCGCAUAACGUCGCAAGACCAAAGAGGGGGACCUUCGGGCCUCUUGCCAUCGGAUGUGCCCAGAUGGGAUUAGCUAGUAGGUGGGGUAACGGCUCACCUAGGCGACGAUCCCUAGCUGGUCUGAGAGGAUGACCAGCCACACUGGAACUGAGACACGGUCCAGACUCCUACGGGAGGCAGCAGUGGGGAAUAUUGCACAAUGGGCGCAAGCCUGAUGCAGCCAUGCCGCGUGUAUGAAGAAGGCCUUCGGGUUGUAAAGUACUUUCAGCGGGGAGGAAGGGAGUAAAGUUAAUACCUUUGCUCAUUGACGUUACCCGCAGAAGAAGCACCGGCUAACUCCGUGCCAGCAGCCGCGGUAAUACGGAGGGUGCAAGCGUUAAUCGGAAUUACUGGGCGUAAAGCGCACGCAGGCGGUUUGUUAAGUCAGAUGUGAAAUCCCCGGGCUCAACCUGGGAACUGCAUCUGAUACUGGCAAGCUUGAGUCUCGUAGAGGGGGGUAGAAUUCCAGGUGUAGCGGUGAAAUGCGUAGAGAUCUGGAGGAAUACCGGUGGCGAAGGCGGCCCCCUGGACGAAGACUGACGCUCAGGUGCGAAAGCGUGGGGAGCAAACAGGAUUAGAUACCCUGGUAGUCCACGCCGUAAACGAUGUCGACUUGGAGGUUGUGCCCUUGAGGCGUGGCUUCCGGAGCUAACGCGUUAAGUCGACCGCCUGGGGAGUACGGCCGCAAGGUUAAAACUCAAAUGAAUUGACGGGGGCCCGCACAAGCGGUGGAGCAUGUGGUUUAAUUCGAUGCAACGCGAAGAACCUUACCUGGUCUUGACAUCCACGGAAGUUUUCAGAGAUGAGAAUGUGCCUUCGGGAACCGUGAGACAGGUGCUGCAUGGCUGUCGUCAGCUCGUGUUGUGAAAUGUUGGGUUAAGUCCCGCAACGAGCGCAACCCUUAUCCUUUGUUGCCAGCGGUCCGGCCGGGAACUCAAAGGAGACUGCCAGUGAUAAACUGGAGGAAGGUGGGGAUGACGUCAAGUCAUCAUGGCCCUUACGACCAGGGCUACACACGUGCUACAAUGGCGCAUACAAAGAGAAGCGACCUCGCGAGAGCAAGCGGACCUCAUAAAGUGCGUCGUAGUCCGGAUUGGAGUCUGCAACUCGACUCCAUGAAGUCGGAAUCGCUAGUAAUCGUGGAUCAGAAUGCCACGGUGAAUACGUUCCCGGGCCUUGUACACACCGCCCGUCACACCAUGGGAGUGGGUUGCAAAAGAAGUAGGUAGCUUAACCUUCGGGAGGGCGCUUACCACUUUGUGAUUCAUGACUGGGGUGAAGUCGUAACAAGGUAACCGUAGGGGAACCUGCGGUUGGAUCACCUCCUUACCUUAAAGAA